AUACUUACCUGGUCGGGGACAAUCGAUGAUCAGGAAGUUUGGCAGACCAACUCUACUUCACUUGGAAGGGGGGUCUACCUCGCAUAUACUUGGGAGUGCACGUUAUAAUUCGUGGCAGUCGAGGCUAGCGUUCGUGCAGCCUAAA
rnacentral:snRNA from 9 species